rnacentral:rRNA from 1 species
GAUGAACGCUGGCGGCGUGCUUAACACAUGCAAGUCGAACGAAGCACUCAUGACAGAUUCUUCGGAUGAUGGAUUGAUUGACUGAGUGGCGGACGGGUGAGUAACGCGUGGGUAACCUGCCUCAUACAGGGGGAUAACAGUUAGAAAUGACUGCUAAUACCGCAUAAGCGCACAGUACCGCAUGGUACGGUGUGAAAAACUCCGGUGGUAUGAGAUGGACCCGCGUCUGAUUAGCUAGUUGGUGGGUAACGGCUACCAAGGCGACGAUCAGUAGCCGGCCUGAGAGGGUGAAACGGCCACAUUGGGACUGAGACACGGCCCAAAACUCCUACGGGA